GGUGAACGCUGGCGGCGUGCUUAACACAUGCAAGUCGAACGGAAAGGCCAGUGCUUGCACUGGUACUCGAGUGGCGAACGGGUGAGUAACACGUGGGUGAUCUGCCCUGCACUUCGGGAUAAGCCUGGGAAACUGGGUCUAAUACCGGAUAGGACAAUGGUUUGGAUGCCGUUGUGGAAAGUUUUUUCGGUGUGGGAUGAGCUCGCGGCCUAUCAGCUUGUUGGUGGGGUAAUGGCCUACCAAGGCGUCGACGGGUAGCCGGCCUGAGAGGGUGUACGGCCACAUUGGGACUGAGAUACGGCCCAGACUCCUACGGGAGGCAGCAAUGGGGAAUAUUGCACAAUGGGCGCAAGCCUGAUGCAGCGACGCCGCGUGGGGGAUGACGGCCUUCGGGUUGUAAACUCCUUUCGCUAGGGACGAAGCGUAUUUGUGACGGUACCUGGAGAAGAAGCACCGGCUAACUACGUG
rnacentral:rRNA from 1 species